CAUGUGACCGGAUGGAUUAUCUCAUGUAUGGUUUGAGUUUUGGAUUUCAUCUUGUGUAAUAGUUGUUAUUAGGGAUUGUAUGAACGUUUGGACUUGAGCGGGUUUGUGAUAUGUAAUUCUUCGAAAGUUUGAUGGAUAUUUGAUUUUUAUAUUGUAAUUUAAUUGAGAACUGUAGUGAACGACUGAGUCCCGGCGAGAGCUGGGCAGGCG
rnacentral:lncRNA from 1 species